rnacentral:ribozyme from 13 species
UUUUUUUUUUUUUUUUUUUUUUUUUUGAAUCUUUUUUUUUUUUUUUAAAAGGGAAGUGAGAACUUUUAUAGAGAUGAUGAA